UCUUCCACAAUGGGCGAAAGCCUGAUGGAGCGACGCCGCGUGAGUGAAGAAGUAUUUCGGUAUGUAAAGCUCUAUCAGCAGGGAAGAAAAUGACGGUACCUGAUUAAGAAGCCCCGGCUAACUACGUGCCAGCAGCCGCGGUAAUACGUAGGGGGAAAGCGUUAUCCGGAUUUACUGGGUGUAAAGGGAGCGUAGACGGCAGCACAAGUCUGGAGUGAAAUGCCGGGGCUUAACCCCGGAACUGCUUUGGAAACUGUGCAGCUAGAGUGCAGGAGAGGUAAGUGGAAUUCCUAGUGUAGCGGUGAAAUGCGUAGAUAUUAGGAGGAACACCAGCGGCGAAGGCGGCUUACUGGACUGUAACUGACGUUGAGGCUCGAAAGCGUGGGGAGCAAACAGG
rnacentral:rRNA from 1 species